rnacentral:sRNA from 1 species
GCCGAUGCUUCAGAUAGAUCCGGAAUCCGGAGAGUGACAGCUGUCAGGUUUCCGGGCGGUAACGGCACAUUGCAAGGUGCGGUUGCCGUUUACAUA